ACAAACCAGACAGACAGAUACUACAGUUAUCUUAUCCCAUGCUAAGAUUUUGUUGGCGACUCAGCGAUGGUGAGUCUAAAAGACUCAGAAGUGAACUCUCAGGUAAAUGAAGGAAGCUACUGAAUCAAAAAUAAGAACCCAAAUAUGAUGCUGCAGUUGCUGCUUCUACAGCCUUGACCCCCCAGCUACAACCAAGAUAACAGAUGGCAACCACAUUCUGCAAUCUUAACACUGGGUCUGGUCUGACAAAACUAAAUGAGUACCACCUGAAGCAGAUAGUCUC